AGACGAGCUCGUAUCUACAUUUUCUCCUGGUUGGUGCUGUAACGGACGUACGGCCCUAAUACACCAACACACUACGACUGAGAUCUCUGUGCACUUGGCGCGGAACAGAUGACUCCACCUUCAGGAAGGUGUGGAAACUCAGCAAAUUGAGGUCACGAGAAUUAAUGCUGAGCCAGACGAGAGCAGGAUUUAAGAGAAGAAUAUCCAGCGCUCUGACGUGUGAGGAGCUUUGAUUCAUCGAGUGGAGAGGAUACAGAAGAGGAGAAGAGUCACUGCCGACCUCUCACAGCCUGACUUUCUUCACAGCAGCCGAGACUGGAGCAAAGCUGGGACGCUUUUAACAAGAGACCUGGAUCCCACCUUUUCAAACACAUGGACAUUUUGUCAUUAAUGAUAAGCACAUAAAACACAUGAUCUGUUAAACCUCAUGAAGGAUUUUAGAGUGGGGAAAAAAACUAUGAAGUUGUAUUUUUUAUGUGAUUCAUUAUUUUUGUUAUUUUUUUGAGUUUAGAGUCUCAUUUGAGAACUGCAUUGGCACUCAGUAGUGCACAUCCCUCCGUCUCCAUUCGAAUCUACACACUCACAGAUAUCAGCCAGAUUUUUCAUCAAUUAUUCUCUGGGAAAACGGUGAAAAACGGCCUCACAAUGUUAAAGAGAGUGAGGGAAAAGAAAUCCUGGAUCUGCCCGCGGAUCCAGAUCCAUGCCAACAUUGAAUGAGUUCUUCCCUCAUCCAUUCAGCAUCAUUCCACCAAGUUUCAUGGAAACCUGGUCAAUAGUUUUUGUGUAAUCUUCCUUACAAACAAACACACAAACAUAUCCUCCUUGGCGUAAGUAAUAAAUGAUUGUGUUAGAAGCUUUUUCAGAUGGACAGACAUAACUGUUGUUGAAUACAUGAAGCUAAAAAAAUAAAAAUAUUGACUUAAUUUUGUUUUAUUUUUUAAUUUACAAACAAUCAGAAAAUGUAUCCACAAAGGUUGAAUUAUAAUAAUAAUCAUUCUGAAUUCUGAGUUUUUAUUUCAUGAAUUCUUUGUAAAUGUAUCUGAAUAUCCUUGUAUUUUUUCUGAUUAAGUUUCUCUACAAGAAAAGUGAAGCUUGUUGUGUUUUGUUUUGCGUCACAAACAGAAACUGGUGGUAGAUUUGUGGACUCCCACAAGCCAGUGCAGCCAAAGUCUUAAUGAAUAUGGGCACACAGACAGAAAAUCGCAGCCAAAUAAGAGAAUAAU